rnacentral:rRNA from 1 species
GAUGAACGCUGGCGGUAUGCUUAACACAUGCAAGUCGAACGGAUGUUUUCGGACAUUAGUGGCGGACGGGUGAGUAACGCGUGAGAAUCUGCCUAUAGGUUGGGGACAACAGAUGGAAACGUCUGCUAAUACCCGAUGUGCCGAGAGGUAAAAGCUUUAGUGCCUGUAGAUGAGCUCGCGUCCGAUUAGCUAGUUGGUUGGGUAAAGGCUGACCAAGGCGACGAUCGGUAGCUGGUCUGAGAGGAUGAUCAGCCACACUGGGACUGAGACACGGCCCAGACUCCUACGGGAGGCAGCAGUGGGGAAUUUUCCGCAAUGGGCGAAAGCCUGACGGAGCAAUACCGCGUGCGGGACGAAGGCUUUUGGGUCGUAAACCGCUUUUGUUAGGGAAGAAGAACUGACGGUACCUAACGAAUCAGCAUCGGCUAACUCCGUGCCAGCAGCCGCGGUAAUACGGGGGAUGCAAGCGUUAUCCGGAAUUAUUGGGCGUAAAGCGUCCGCAGGUGGUUUAUCAAGUCUGCUGUCAAAGCGUGGGGCUUAACCCCAUACAGGCAGUGGAAACUGAGAGACUAGAGUACGGUAGGGGUAGCGGGAAUUCCCAGUGUAGCGGUGAAAUGCGUAGAUAUUGGGAAGAACACCAGCGGCGAAGGCGCGCUACUGGGCCGAAACUGACACUCAUGGACGAAAGCUAGGGGAGCGAAAGGGAUUAGAUACCCCUGUAGUCCUAGCUGUAAACGAUGACAACUAGGUGUUGCGCG